UACGUAGGGGGCUAGCGUUGUCCGGAAUCAUUGGGCGUAAAGCGCGUGUAGGCGGCCCGGUAAGUCCGCUGUGAAAGUCGGGGGCUCAACCCUCGGAAGCCGGUGGAUACUGUCGGGCUCGAGUACGGAAGAGGCGAGUGGAAUUCCUGGUGUAGCGGUGAAAUGCGCAGAUAUCAGGAGGAACACCUAUUGCGAAGGCAGCUCGCUGGGACGUUACUGACGCUGACACGCGAAAGCGUGGGUAGCAAACAGG
rnacentral:rRNA from 1 species